CCUACGGGAGGCUGCAGUCGAGAAUCUUUCACAAUGGGGGAAACCCUGAUGGUGCGACGCCGCGUGGGGGAAUGAAGGUCUUCGGAUUGUAAACCUCUGUCAUGUGGGAGCAAAUUAUAAAGAUAGUACCACAAGAGGAAGAGACGGCUAACUCUGUGCCAGCAGCCGCGGUAAUACAGAGGUUUUAAGCGUUGUUCGGAAUCACUGGGCGUAAAGCGUGCGUAGGCUGUUUCGUAAGUCGUGUGUGAAAGGGGGGGGCUCAACCCGCGGAGGGCACCUGAUACUGGGAGGCUAGAGUGAAGGAGAGGGAAGCGGAAUUCGCGGUGUAGCAGUGAAAUGCGUAGAUAUCGCGAAGAACACUCGUGGCGAAGGCGGGUUCCUGGACAUUAACUGACGCUGAGGCACGAAGGCGAGGGGAGCGAAAGGGAUUAGAUACCCUUGUAGUC
rnacentral:rRNA from 1 species